rnacentral:rRNA from 1 species
GACGAACGCUGGCGGCGUGCUUAACACAUGCAAGUCGAACGGAAAGGCCCUGCUUGCAGGGUACUCGAGUGGCGAACGGGUGAGUAACACGUGGGUGAUCUGCCCUGCACUUCGGGAUAAGCCUGGGAAACUGGGUCUAAUACCGGAUAGGAGCCAUUUUUAGUGUGAUGGUUGGAAGGUUUUUUUCGGUGUAGGAUGAGCUCGCGGCCUAUCAGCUUGUUGGUGGGGUAAUGGCCUACCAAGGCGGCGACGGGUAGCCGGCCUGAGAGGGUGGACGGCCACAUUGGGACUGAGAGAAGGCACAGACGCGGAAGGGAGGAAGAAGGGGGGAAGAUUGCACAAGGGGCGCAGGGCGGAUGCAGAGACGCCGCGGGGGGGAAGACGGCCUUCGGGUUGUAAAAUCCGUUCGCUAGGGACGAAGCUUUUUGUGACGGUACCUAGAUAAGAAGCACCGGCUAACUACGUG